GGGCAUUUCGGCUUGUCUAUAAUGCAGUCGACGAACUCUGGUAUUGAUUGGUGCUUGCAUCAUGAUUUACAUUUGAGUGAGUGGCGAACUGGUGAGUAACACGUGGGAAACCUGCCCAGAAGCGGGGGAUAACACCUGGAAACAGAUGCUAAUACCGCAUAACAACUUGGACCGCAUGGUCCGAGCUUGAAAGAUGGCUUCGGCUAUCACUUUUGGAUGGUCCCGCGGCGUAUUAGCUAGAUGGUGGGGUAACGGCUCACCAUGGCAAUGAUACGUAGCCGACCUGAGAGGGUAAUCGGCCACAUUGGGACUGAGACACGGCCCAAACUCCUACGGGAGGCAGCAGUAGGGAAUCUUCCACAAUGGACGAAAGUCUGAUGGAGCAACGCCGCGUGAGUGAAGAAGGGUUUCGGCUCGUAAAACUCUGUUGUUAAAGAAGAACAUAUCUGAGAGUAACUGUUCAGGUAUUGACGGUAUUUAACCAGAAAGCCACGGCUAACUACGUGCCAGCAGCCGCGGUAAUACGUAGGUGGCAAGCGUUGUCCGGAUUUAUUGGGCGUAAAGCGAGCGCAGGCGGUUUUUUAAGUCUGAUGUGAAAGCCUUCGGCUCAACCGAAGAAGUGCAUCGGAAACUGGGAAACUUGAGUGCAGAAGAGGACAGUGGAACUCCAUGUGUAGCGGUGAAAUGCGUAGAUAUAUGGAAGAACACCAGUGGCGAAGGCGGCUGUCUGGUCUGUAACUGACGCUGAGGCUCGAAAGUAUGGGUAGCAAACAGGAUUAGAUACCCUGGUAGUCCAUACCGUAAACGAUGAAUGCUAAGUGUUGGAGGGUUUCCGCCCUUCAGUGCUGCAGCUAACGCAUUAAGCAUUCCGCCUGGGGAGUACGGCCGCAAGGCUGAAACUCAAAGGAAUUGACGGGGGCCCGCACAAGCGGUGGAGCAUGUGGUUUAAUUCGAAGCUACGCGAAGAACCUUACCAGGUCUUGACAUACUAUGCAAAUCUAAGAGAUUAGACGUUCCCUUCGGGGACAUGGAUACAGGUGGUGCAUGGUUGUCGUCAGCUCGUGUCGUGAGAUGUUGGGUUAAGUCCCGCAACGAGCGCAACCCUUAUUAUCAGUUGCCAGCAUUAAGUUGGGCACUCUGGUGAGACUGCCGGUGACAAACCGGAGGAAGGUGGGGAUGACGUCAAAUCAUCAUGCCCCUUAUGACCUGGGCUACACACGUGCUACAAUGGAUGGUACAACGAGUUGCGAACUCGCGAGAGUAAGCUAAUCUCUUAAAGCCAUUCUCAGUUCGGAUUGUAGGCUGCAACUCGCCUACAUGAAGUCGGAAUCGCUAGUAAUCGCGGAUCAGCAUGCCGCGGUGAAUACGUUCCCGGGCCUUGUACACACCGCCCGUCACACCAUGAGAGUUUGUAACACCCAAAGUCGGUGGGGUAACCUUUUAGGAACCAGCCGCCUAAGGUGGGACAGAUGAUUAGGGUGAAGUCGAAUCAAGAGCACCCC
rnacentral:rRNA from 3 species